rnacentral:rRNA from 1 species
ACAUGCCUACAGCAUAGCGUUAAUGCACUAUAUCCCAUUAGAACUUCGUAGUUAAGCAUGCUCAAGCUAGACUAGUACUAGGAUAUGGGUGACUGCCCAAGAAGUCUUAGUGUUUUACAUGCC